rnacentral:lncRNA from 1 species
CUUCCUCUGUCUCUCUCGCCCUGGGUUCCGUGCCCCUGGAUCACCAGCUGCCAUGUCCUGAGGACACUUGGGCAGCCUGUGGGGAGAUCUACAUGACAAAGAAACAAGACCUGCCAGCAACCACGAUGAUGACGGAGACAGGGCUAACUUACUCACGCUGUCUUUCUCCAGAUGGGCUUUCUUCUUCCCACGGGAAAUCGUUCUUGGAGUCACUGCUGUUGCCUAAAAUAUAUGCAAAUGCUACCUUCACUGCUCCUGGCACAGGCAGAAACCUGUUGCCUUUCUGGAGAGUUUCUGCUCCUUGUUGAAGCCUCAGAUUAAUCAUUACCCUCCCAAUGAAGGAUUCCUUGGCUGCUGUAGACUAUUGUUAUAGAAAACAUGUUUUAUCAAAUAUGAUGGUCUCCAAGUGUAUCUCCUCAUCUAGACUCUGAGCACUUUGGUGUACAGGUGUUUCGUGUGUGUUUGAUCUCAUUUGUGUUCUCAGUUCCUCUCCAUCAUUGGUACCCAAACAGUAUUUGCAAAGCCAGAAGGUGAUCGAAGGGAUGGCUACCAUUAGAGUGAUUUUACCUUAGAGAUGGAGGUUCUGCAUCAUUUGGACCAUGGGCACUUGGUGGGUGAUGAACCCCUUCACCUCAGAGCACGGCCAGCAGGCAGCGCGAGCUUGAUGUCAGCAAUCAGCCGAUGUUAAGGGAAAGACUGAAUUCUGCACAGAGAGAAGAUUUAGAGCUGGGAUGGCACAUGAAGAUUUGAUGAAGACUAGAGUUGACUAUGCCACAUGGGAAAUUAUUCGUGUGUAAAAGUGAGAUGCAAAUAUGGGUG